CACGUAGGCGGCCUGGUAAGUCAGAUGUGAAAGCCCGGGGCUUAACCCCGGAAGUGCAUUUGAUACUGUCAGGCUUGAGUAUGGGAGAGGGAAGUGGAAUUCCUGGUGUAGAGGUGAAAUUCGUAGAUAUCAGGAGGAACACCGGUGGCGAAGGCGACUUCCUGGACCAAUACUGACGCUGAGGUGCGAAGGCGUGGGUAGCAAACAGGAUUAGAUACCCUGGUAGUC
rnacentral:rRNA from 1 species